rnacentral:lncRNA from 1 species
UCUAAUUUAGACCGUCUGAUCGCGUUUAAAUCUGACCGUCUGAUCACAUUUGGGGAGGGAACAUAUCCAGGCCGUCCGUGCACACGGGGAUGGAUCUGAGCCGUUCGAUCGCGGGCACGCAGAUCACCUGUGUGGCCUCUCGCGUGACAUCGCGUAAGCGUCUGUUGCCACGCAGCACACCCUGGUUCGUCAGGGCUGCUGACCGGGCAUCCUACGUGGCAAAACUUUACUAAAUUAUAUUUUGACCUUUGGUUU